CUCAAAUUGCAGCGGGUCAACUCUUUCCUUCUGGCUCUUUUUUUUAAUUAACCAAAACAACACAACCAUUCCAGGCCAUCUCCUUUUGCCAUUUCCUCCACGUCCAGCCCACAGGCCAUCAAGAGAAACGAUGUUCACCUUACCUUUUCGCUCACAGGAGACAGGCUUCCGUUCUUGUCAUCUUCCUCCGUUCCAGCACACACCACCACGCUGUUUUCCCCUCUCUUUUAAUCCCAAUCGAAGCCUCUUGCAAACCCUAACCUACUCCUUCCUCUAGCCGCCGCCGUUUCUCUCUUCCACCUCUGUAUCUUCAUCUCCAAGAACAGUUCCAGGGAACACAUUCAGUUUCGUCAGAGGAGCCGCCGGAGUUCGCCGUCCCUGCCGCCGGCAUGAGGGUCUUUGAAUCGAGCAAGCAGAGGAAAUGGAGAGCCCACGUCGUCCCCAUCAUCUCCGCUGAAGCCACGGCGCAAUAGCCGCCCGUAGUCAACACCACAGACCCCGCCGUCAACAUCUUUUCACAGACCUGUCGACGACAUCGUCGCUGCCGUUUUCUCGCUGGCCUCCCCAACCUCUCCCUCGACGUGCUCGCAGUCGUUCGUGCCGUCCAAGCCUCAGCCGUGUCGAGCUUGGUCGACCUUCGCCUGAUUUCCUUCAAAGGGCUGAGCCCCUUUCUCAGUUGUCAUUUGAUCUAGCGGCUGGCCUGCUCCAUCUGCACCGAAGAAUCCUGUCAUAGCUCAGAUUAUGUACGUUUGUACCACAUCAAUACCUGAACUGCAACAACGUGGUUUGAUCCAUGUCCUCUUCCCCAUACACGAGUUGAUCUCCUAUUCCCAACCAAAUAGUCAUUCUCUGUUUUGCUUUCCGUUCAGCCUGGAGUUACUUGAAGAAAUAGGCGUCAGCUACUAACCAAAAUCGUCACAGCAGCCCAGCUGGUUUGUUUCUGCCCUUGGCCCGGCAAACGAUGGUUCAGUUCCAAAAUCAGGCUAUUUCAAAGCCAAUCCUUUUCACAUAGUUUCUUCUAUCGCAUUUGCUUCUUCCCGGAUAGGAUCACGAAGUGGUGUGGUGAGAUACGAC